GCUGGUUAAUGAAGAUACCCUAUAGUCAUUGCCAUCCAUGAGAGGACCCUUCCUAUUAUCCCACAAUUGCAGACUUUGCUUAUGAGUCUUUGAGGGAUCUUGUAAAAGGCUUUCUGAAAUUCAAGGCACAGUGGACACAGCAUACAGGGGCGAAGCCCAGGACCUUCUACUAUCCGGCUGAUGUGGAGCCUUUGAGGAGGACUACUGGGGAGUCCCAACGACUGUUGGAUUUCAUUGCAGACAGGGAGACCCUCCAGGAUGAUGGAUACCAGGAAAGCAGGACCCUCCAGAGCUCUAGCCCAUCUAAGAUCAAAACAGCA